rnacentral:rRNA from 1 species
UACAGAGGGUGCGAGCGUUGUUCGGAAUUAUUGGGCGUAAAGCGCGCGCAGGCGGUCUUCCAAGUCAGUGGUGAAAGCCUGGAGCUCAACUCCAGAACUGCCAUUGAAACUGUUAGACUUGAGUACGAGAGAGGUGAGUGGAAUCCCCAGUGUAGAGGUGAAAUUCGUAGAUAUUGGGAAGAACACCAGUGGCGAAGGCGGCUCACUGGCUCGUAACUGACGCUCAGGCGCGACAGCGUGGGGAUCAAACAGG